rnacentral:rRNA from 1 species
GACAGAGGAUGCAAGCGUUAUCCGGAAUGAUUGGGCGUAAAGCGUCUGUAGGUGGCUUUUUAAGUCUGCCGUCAAAUCCCAGGGCUUAACCCUGGACAGGCGGUGGAAACUACCAAGCUGGAGUACGGUAGGGGAGACUGGAAUUCCUGGUGUAGCGGUGAAAUGCGCAGAUAUCAGGAGGAACACCGGUGGCGAAGGCGGGUCUCUGGGCCGAUACUGACGCUGAGGAGCGAAAGCGUGGGGAGCGAACAGG